UACGGGGGGGGGCAAGCGUUGUUCGGAAUUACUGGGCGUAAAGGGUUCGUAGGUGGCUUGCUUAGUCAGACGUGAAAUCCCUCAGCUCAACUGGGGAACUGCGUCUGAUACUGGCGAGCUUGAGUGCAGGAGAGGAACGCGGAAUUCCAGGUGUAGAGGUGAAAUUCGUAGAUAUUCGCAAGAACACCAGUGGCGAAGGCGGCUCACUGGCCCGAUACUGACGCUGAGGCACGAAAGCGUGGG
rnacentral:rRNA from 1 species